UACGGGGGGGGCAAGCGUUGUUCGGAAUUACUGGGCGUAAAGGGCUCGUAGGUGGCCAACUAAGUCAGACGUGAAAUCCCCAGGCUCAACCUGGGAACUGCGUCUGAUACUGGAUGGCUUGAAUCCGGGAGAGGGAUGCAGAAUUCCAGGUGUAGCGGUGAAAUGCGUAGAUAUCUGGAGGAACACCGGUGGCGAAGGCGGCAUCCUGGACCAACACUGACACUGAGGAGCGAAAGCCAGGGGAGCAAACGGG
rnacentral:rRNA from 1 species